ensembl:lncRNA
GAAAAAGAGAGCCCUUCUGCACCUGGUUUUCAAUGGAACAGCAGCCCCAGGGAGCCCUGAUUGCUUAUGGGUCCAGGUGGGACCUGCUGGGUGCUGAGCAGCAGGCUUUUUUUUGCUUGGACAGGAUCCAGAUUUUCUUUCUGUCAGGCAAGCAACAGAGAGAGGCAGGGAGAGACUGAGACCCUCCUUUUCCACCUUGGAGUAGGAAGCAGACAUAUCUAACAGCAGGAGAUACAGGAAGGGAAGCAACAAAGGAGGUCCCUGGCCGGUGGCGACGGGGAGAGCAGCGACAGCCAGGGAAUGGUAAGUUGUCAUCAGCCUGGAGGAGUCUGAGACAAAACAAGGGACAAGAAAGAAGGGGACAAUCUCUUCAACAGGGUCUGUUGGGAUGGGA